CUGCUGAGGAGUCCCACAACAGGACGAAACGGCCGUCCAG
rfam:Schistosoma haematobium scaffold13_36, whole genome shotgun sequence.